GAAGCAUUGUUAUUGACUGCUCCAGAUUAAACAGCGCAGAGGAAGAUUUCAAUUUGAUAACGUCACAGCCCUUCCUGUUUUUCUUUGCUGCUUCUGCUGACAAUUUGAGGAGCAAUUACUAGAAGUUCUGUCAAUAACGGAAAAGAGAAACUAGAAGGUGCCUUAUUUCCAUACUCUGCAAUCUGCAAGGCAAAUUAAUGUUCCCCGAAUAAGCUUUUUAUAAUGUUAUGCUGUAAUGUUUGUUGGAAGAUUAGAUUAAACAAUAUGAUAACAUAAUAUCAUUAUGCAGUCACGUCUGAAUUGGAAUAUGGAGAAACAAAGAUCACUAUCAUAUUAAUGCUUAUAAUUUUGUGCUUUUUUUCCCUGAGUCUUUUGGGUCCUUUAUUCUACAGUAAUAAUAGUCUUAGGUUUAUAUAGUGCCUUCAAUUUAAACAGCCAGAGCUUUCAGUAAUGCAAAGAGAACAGAACAAACAUGUAAUGAUCAUUAUUCCAAUUACUGGAGCUCAGCCAGCUCUGGAUAAACUAGGUGGUGUUCUAAUACUAUGUACAACACUAAACAGAAGCUCUAAAAGUGUAUUCUUAAUUUCAUUAAAAGGUAAUUCUUAACGAA